AAAAGGCGAGACAUUGCCAGGGAGUUUAUUUUGUAGCUCUCUUGAUAAAAUGUUUUAGCAAACAC
ensembl:miRNA MIR4317 microRNA 4317